AAAGAAGAUAAGUCUUGAUUCCAUGUAAAAAGGUGGCAGAAUCACCAGGCCCCUUUUCUCGACCCCUCUAUAGCCCUUGACACUGACCUGUGGAAAACUGCUCCCUCCCCUGGCCUCUGUGCGACCACUGGUCCCCUCUUGAGACUCCUCUUUUCCACUCGUCUCCUCUAUAGGACCUCCCACCCGUCUCUGAAAUAUUAGCCUCCCCUACCAGUCUGCCCCUGGAUCCUCCUCUCUGCUUCCUUCCUGGGAGAGAUCUCAGCUCUUUGCUUUACCUUCCACCCAUGGGCAAGUCACCCAGGAGCUCAGGCCAGGCCCGCUCCUCACCUGAGCUCUAGACUUGUCAAUCCAAGCAUCGGGAUCUCAUCUCCAUCAGCUCUCUCCCAAAGCACUUCUAAGUCACCGUGUACACAACAACCGUGCAGUCUCCGAGGGUUCCUGUCUUUCCCCCCAGCCUCUGCUUCUGGUCAGAACCAAGCUCCGGAGCCCUCUGCCUCCUUGUCACAUGCCCAGCCCCAGUUUAGAGCCUCGCUGUUUCACUCCUGGACUUAGCCAGUGAUUGCCCUGUUUCUCGUGUCCUCCCUACCAUCCCAGUUCACCAUCCACUUAGCUGCCCCAGGGAUCUUUCUAAAGCAUCUGUUCCUUCACUUCCUUGCUCAGCACCCUUCAGUGGCUCUCCAUUACCCAUAAGAUAGGAAGUCCUGGCUGGCCCCUCCAGCCUCAUUCCACUUCUUUCCUUUGCUUUCCCUGCUCAUCUACUGUGCCCCACCUCUACUGGACUGUCCAUAAUUCCUAGAAACAUCCAGACUGUUGAGUUUGUCCUCUUUCUUUUUUUUUAAAGAGCAGUUUUAGGUUCAUAGCAAAAUUGAGCAAAAAGUCAGUUCUUGCAUACCCUCUACCCUCACACAGGCACAGCUCCCCUCAACUAUUGACUUCCUGCACCACAGUGGUACAUGUUAAAGUCAAUGAACCUUCACGGACACAUCACCACCCAAAGUCCAUAGUCCACUUACAUUAGGGUUCUCUCGGU
ensembl:lncRNA